GCCGGGCAUGGUGGCGGGUGCCUGUAAUCCCAGCUACUCGGGAGGCUGAGGCAGGAGAAUUGCCUGAGCCCAGGAGGCAGAGAUUGCAGUGAACUGAGAUUGCACCACUGCACUCCAGCCUGGGCAACAAAACGAGACUCUGUCUCAA
rnacentral:SRP_RNA from 1 species